rnacentral:snoRNA from 1 species
CUUCCCAUUUAUUUGCUGCUAUAGUCUCUCAGUGAUAUAAGCAGUUAUACGCGUGGGAUAAAACAAUAUUGGGCCAUUGUAACAGACGAGUAACAG